UGGGAAAAUCUGUUAAGCUCAGGAGGGAUAGCGCCAUGAGAUAUGAUAUACGUACGUUUGGCGCUAUCCAUCCUGAGUUUUACGGAUUCUUCUU
rnacentral:pre_miRNA from 1 species